rnacentral:rRNA from 1 species
GAUGAACGCUGGCGGCGUGCCUAAUACAUGCAAGUCGAGCGAACAGACGAGGAGCUUGCUCCUCUGACGUUAGCGGCGGACGGGUGAGUAACACGUGGAUAACCUACCUAUAAGACUGGGAUAACUUCGGGAAACCGGAGCUAAUACCGGAUAAUAUAUUGAACCGCAUGGUUCAAUAGUGAAAGACGGUUUUGCUGUCACUUAUAGAUGGAUCCGCGCCGCAUUAGCUAGUUGGUAAGGUAACGGCUUACCAAGGCAACGAUGCGUAGCCGACCUGAGAGGGUGAUCGGCCACACUAGAACUGAGACACGGUCCAGACUACUACGGGAGGCAGCAGUAGGGAAUCUUCCGCAAUGGGCGAAAGCUUGACGGAGCAACGCCGCGUGAGUGAUGAAGGUCUUCGGAUCGUAAAACUCUGUUAUUAGGGAAGAACAAAUGUGUAAGUAACUAUGCACGUCUUGACGGUACCUAAUCAGAAAGCCACGGCUAACUACGUG